AUUGAACGCUGGCGGCAUGCCUUACACAUGCAAGUCGAACGGCAGCACGGGAGCAGUCCUGGUGGCGAGUGGCGAACGGGUGAGUAAAGUAUCGGAACGUGCCCAGUCGUGGGGGAUAACGUAGCGAAAGUUACGCUAAUACCGCAUACGAUCUAUGGAUGAAAGCGGGGGAUCGCAAGACCUCGCGCGAUUGGAGCGGCCGAUAUCAGAUUAGGUAGUUGGUGGGGUAAGGCUCACCAAGCCGACGAUCUGUAGCUGGUCUGAGAGGACGACCAGCCACACUGGGACUGAGACACGGCCCAGACUCCUACGGGAGGCAGCAGUGGGGAAUUUUGGACAAGGGGCGCAAGCCUGAUCCAGCCAUGCCGCGUGCAGGAUGAAGGCCUUCGGGUUGUAAACUGCUUUUGUACGGAACGAAAAGGUUCGACUUAAUACGUUGGACUCAUGACGGUACCGUAAGAAUAAGCACCGGCUAACUACGUGCCAGCCGCCGCCGUAA
rnacentral:rRNA from 1 species